rnacentral:rRNA from 1 species
CACGUAGGGGGCAAGCGUUGUCCGGAUUUAUUGGGCGUAAAGAGCUCGUAGGCGGUUCGCUAAGUCGGGUGUGAAAACUCUGGGCUCAACUCCGAGCUUGCAGUCGAUACGGGCAGGCUAGAGUUCGGCAGGGGAGACUGGAAUUCCUGGUGUAGCGGUGAAAUGCGCAGAUAUCAGGAGGAACACCGGUGGCGAAGGCGGGUCUCUGGGCCGAUACUGACGCUGAGGAGCGAAAGCGUGGGGAGCGAACAGG